UACGAAGGGGGCUAGCGUUGCUCGGAAUGACUGGGCGUAAAGGGCGCGUAGGCGGCACAACUCGUCAGGCGUGAAAUUCCCGGGCUUAACCUGGGGACUGCGUUUGAUACGGUUGAGCUAGAGGAUGGAAGAGGCUCGUGGAAUUCCCAGUGUAGAGGUGAAAUUCGUAGAUAUUGGGAAGAACACCGGUGGCGAAGGCGGCGAGCUGGUCCAUUACUGACGCUGAGGCGCGAAAGCGUGGGGAGCAAACAGGAUUAGAUACCCUGGUAGUCCACGCUGUAAACGAUGUGCGCUGGAUGUUGGGUAACUUAGUUACUCAGUGUCGUAGCUAACGCGAUAAGCGCACCGCCUGGGGAGUACGGCCGCAAGGUUG
rnacentral:rRNA from 1 species